rnacentral:tRNA from 1 species
UGCCGGGAUAGCUCAGUUGGUAGAGCAGAGGACUGAAAAUCCUCGUGU